rnacentral:tRNA from 1 species
GCCCCAAUGUCUUAGAUGGCUAGAGAGACCGCCUUCCAAGCGGUAUGCGCCGGUUCGAGCCCGGCUUGGGGCU